UUUUUUUUUUUUUAAAGAGGGGCAAAUUCAGUUCAUAAUUAGGGGAGGAGUAGUUUUUGGAUUCUAUCCUCUACAUGAAAUCUGUUAUAAAUAUGUCCUGCCAAAAUCCUGCACUGUAAUGUGCCAGUUUUGUAAUAGGUUUAGUUCUCUGGUCUUUUUCUCUAAGUCCAAAUUCUCCGUCAUUUUAAAACAUUUUGUCCUUGAAAACCUUUUUUUUUCUCACAAUUUUUAAAAGAUGAUGUGGUAUGCAUGUUUUAAGCCAUCCCAUCUGUGACAGCUGAAGACAAAACCGUCAGCUUGAGUUUUGGCACAACUUGGGCCUCUGUCUUGUAAUCUCAUUUAUGCCUGUCCUAGAACUGUUCUUAUUAACCAGGAAUUCUUAUCUCAUAGCCACAGCUGAGGGCAGCAUUGUGGCUCUUUGAGUACAAUCAGUGCACUGGCUAAAAUGACGUCCAGAUCUUUGUUAGAGCAGACACCAUCUUUGGAAUCGACUCUGAUGUUGAAAAUUGUUGAACCCCUUAAGCUGUCUCGUUUCUUUUGCUUGAAUGAUGGUCUGAACUGGGCAACAUCAGAGAACAAUGACUCUGGCUCUUUGAAAUGUUGAUUUUCAUCUGUGCCAUGAUGUGAUGAGCACAUAAACUAUAUAGUUGGUCGAUGAUAAUAAGGCUUUCUACAAAGAACACCAUAUUUACCAUUUAGUUGCCAUCUCACUUGCCAGAAAGCUUUGUCCAUAAACAGAGCAGACUUCAUGAAGCCCAGAGUUAAAUAAGAACCUUGACAUAACUGAAGCCACAUCAAAUUUUUAUAUUUUUAUUGUUCUUAUUUCACAUAAUUUUAAACACAACACUUCAUUGGAUGUCAAGUCACCGGCACUAGAAUUUUUUAAUAGAGUCAAGUCCAUAAUUUUCUCUUUGAUUUGAAACUUAGAAUUAUUUUGAAAGAUAAGCUUUUAUGUCUUCAUGCUGUAUAUUCAAUAACACAGACAUCCUUUAUAAUACAAUCAUGUCCAUUUAUCAUAAUGGUUAGAUUAUAGGAUCUACCACUCUAGACUGUUGCCUAAUUUUAGCUCUGUGACAUACAUAAUUUAUGAAUUGUUGGUAACUUGAGAAUGUGUUUAUAUCCAGAAAGAGUGACUAUAUAAAAAAUAACUCCCUAAGACAUUUGCCUAUUGGUAUUGAGAUCGUUCCUUUGUUUUUGGAAUAUGAAUAUAUUUCUGUCUGCAAGACAUAAAACCCAGGUGUUAAUUUAUUAUCAUCAAAGACAUCAUCUCAAAAUCUGAAAGUUGAAUCUAGUUAACAACUCUAAUAUGUGAAGCCAAACAAUUGACUGAUUUUUUUUUUUUUUAAGAUUUGGAAAUAGAGGCAUUACAUCUGCUAUUUUAGAAUAGUUGAGCUUAGAAACAAAUGCUUUUAAGGACAUGAAAGCUAUGAUACUACCAGGCAAAUAGUUUUCUUUGCAAUUUCUCUAACAUGAGGCUAAUUUUAUCAAUUUUCAGUAUUUGUAAAAUCUACAUAUGGGUUACACUAUUACUUGGGUAGAUUUAGUCGAUGAUCUCACCCAGGAAUCUUGGCUAAUACACCAUAUAUUAGCCUGAUGCUCCCCACUUAUGAACUUUAUUAGCCCACUAUUAUGCAAUGAAAGGGAAACAGUGCAUAUAUGGCAAUGGAGGCAUCACAGUGUAAAGUAACCCC
ensembl:lncRNA